CUCCCUUAGUUCAGUGGUAGAUUCCCAACUAAAAGUUGGGAUUUGGCGGUUCGAUUCCGUCAGGGAGCA
rnacentral:tRNA from 1 species